rnacentral:rRNA from 1 species
AUUUAACGCUGGCGGCAGGCCUAACACAUGCAAGUCGAACGGUAACAGGAAGACGCUUGCUUCUUUGCUGACGAGUGGCGGACGGGUGAGUAAUGUCUGGGAAACUGCCUGAUGGAGGGGGAUAACUACUGGAAACGGUAGCUAAUACCGCAUAACGUCGCAAGACCAAAGAGGGGGACCUUCGGGCCUCUUGCCCUCGGAUGUGCCCAGAUGGGAUUAGCUAGUAGGUGGGGUAACGGCUCACCUAGGCGACGAUCCCUAGCUGGUCUGAGAGGAUGACCAGCCACACUGGAACUGAGACACGGUCCAGACUCCUACGGGAGGCAGCAGUGGGGAAUAUUGCACAAUGGGCGCAAGCCUGAUGCAGCCAUGCCGCGUGUAUGAAGAAGGCCUUCGGGUUGUAAAGUACUUUCAGCGGGGAGGAAGGGAGUAAAGUUAAUACCUUUGCUCAUUGACGUUACCCGCAGAAGAAGCACCGGCUAACUCCGUG